UCCCGGUUCUGUCUCCACCCCCGAUGCCCCUCCCCCGCGUAACCCCCGUGGCUCACCGCACCACACGAAACCUCUGAUCCCAUGACCUCGACGGCGGCCAUGGCCGGCAAGCAGGUGCAAUACCGUGCCCCAACUCGCCCCGCACGUCGCCCAUCCUGUCACCCCCACGCGAUGGCCGCAACUCCGCGAGACAACCGCUGUCCGCCCCCCACCACCCUCCCCCGCGACGCCCCCUCCCACGACGCUUUGUGCGCGUGAGUCUGCGACUGCCGACAGCCGUCGCCGUACUGGAGCCCGAUCUGCUGGCUCCCCCUCAACCUCACCACCAUGCCCCCAUCGGACCUCGUCACGCCGUGCGUGGCGGUGCCGGUGAUGGACGCGGCGUUGCUAGCCGUCAUCGUCCCGCCUCGACGUUCGAUCCAUGCUCGCCACGGUUGGUGCUCGCACGCGAUGUGGCGUGGCGAGGUUACCGCGGGCGCCGCGGAGGUGGAGGGGGAAGGGGAGGAUGAGGGCACGGGCAAGAGAGUGCAUCGCGGUGGACGGUCUCGUGAGUGAGUGCUGCUGCCUGCCCCUCUCUCUCUGCCUGCGUUCUCCUGGUGCUGCUCUCCCUCUCCUCCCCUGCUUCGACCUCCCGCCUUUCCCCACCGUUUCUUGGAUUUCUAGGAUCCAGACAACCGCCCUUGUGAGCCUGCCUUCCUGCCUACUACCUGCGUACAUACAGGAGGGACCUUGGGUGAUCCGGGUGCUUGGUUUCUUGGUUCUGCGGCUUUCGCUGCUGUUGGAUUUGCCGAGCCGGAGCCGCCGGAGAUGACCGUCGACGAGCUGAAGCUGCAGGCAAGGGCCAGCGGCGGCCACGACCUAAGGACCAGUUCCCCGUCGGCAUGCGCGUGCUCGCCGUCGACGAUGACCCGACCUGCCUCAAGGUCCUUGAGAACCUCUUGUUCCGCUGCCAGUACCAUGUGACAACAAUGGGACAGGCAACCACGACCUUGAGCUGCUGAGGGAGAAAAAGGACCAGUUUGACCUUGUGAUCAGCAACGUCCACAUGCUGGACAUGGACGGCUUCAAGCUCCUCAAGCUUGUGGGUCUCGAGAUGGACCUUCCGGGGAUUAACAGCUGAAAACCUCGCCCGAUUUGUAAAGAAGUUUUCUUGUUCAAUGCGGCAUUGAAUUUGGGAGGAAUGGCAAGUCUCAUGAAAACUUCUAUAUGCCCUACACGUGACCACUAAAAGAAAGAGUUAGACAGGACAAAAGGCUGCAGGUGAAGCGGCAGAAGAAGAGCUUUUACAAUAAACCCUAAACCCUUACAAUGCUGAUUUUGAUGGAGAUGAAAUGAAUUUGCAUGUCCCUCAGACGGAGGAAGCUCGCACUGAAGCGCUUAAUUCUCAUAGGGGUUCAAAAUAAUUUAUGUACUCCUAAGAAUGUGAUGGGGGGUACUUCAAUGCAAUAAUGAGCUUCCCACAAAAUUACCCAAACAGCCCGCCAUCAGUCAGAUUUACCUCUGAAAUGUGGCAUCCAAAUGUCUAUCCUGAUGGGUGGGUUUGUAUCUCUAUUCUUCAUCCACCCAGUGAAGAUCCAAACGGUUAUGAGCUCGCAAGUGAGCGAUGGACACCUGUGCACACACUUGUAGGUACUGAUCACAGCACAUUCAACUCCACACAGAUUGUCCAUGUUUCUUUUAGUCACCAUGAUUUAUCACUAGGUCAUUGUGUUUGUGGCCAACGAGUAUUGUUCUAACAGUUAUGUUCCCAUAGCUAGCUGGAUUCAUUGUUGUGUUUUGUUCAGGGUACUUUCACCACUUCUGGUAUGGUUCUGUCUGUAAUGUGCCAGGGAUUAUUAUAUUGUUUUUGGUUUGGAUUUGGAAUGGUUUGGGGUCCACAACGAUGAUGCGUCAGAGCUGUUCCAAGGAUUGGAUGAUUUCCAUUCCCCUGCUGCCAAUUCGACUAGGCUCGCCGUCUCCGCUCUGCCCAACUGGCACCAAGCAGCCAAUGGAACUUGAGCAGCCAAUGGAUGAUUUCCAUUCCCCUGCUGCCAAUUCUCUGAACUGCUUCGACCCUUCAACUCAAUCUGCAUGUACCCAGUAAAUGUUCAAUCUGAAUUUGGAUCAUUGCUAGCAGGAUUCUUUGCUUGCUCUUCUACUUCUGAAAAUUCGCAAAAUGGAUAGAUAAUUCCAGUUAAUUUUAAUCCAUUACAGCCUGUUGUGGCAGCAAACAGCGACCGGGUGCGGAAGCCGGAAGGGAGAGGCGCUUGGUUGACCCGGAACGGACGACAAGACACCACCGGGGGUUCGCUGCAACCGCACGCGUGGUGGCCGGUGUGGGAAGGAGCCCACUGCUCAAGCAGCGAUGACUUCCGCAACUUCUCAGGCCAAGUUGUAGGGAGGGAGGGCAGCAAAGAAAGCAAGCAAGAAAGAAGCCGAUUCCACUGGUGGUUAAGGUUUUGGAUUAAAGGAGAGAGGUGCAGAGAAAAAAAAGGCAAUCUUACUCUUAAUCUCUGUGUCCACAUCACUUCCAAUCAUGCUGUGAUCGACAGAAGUACGAGUGCCAUGGAUAAGUGCCUCCUCCAACUCACCAAAGUAAUAAGGAGCAGCUGCUGCAGGUUGCAACUCCCUGGGCCAAGUAGUAGCGCAACAAGUUCAGCACCAAUGGCAGCCAUAUGAAAUAUAAGGCAAAGCAGAUAAAAAGCUUAUUUUUUUUUCAAGAAGGUAAAGGCAAUGACAGAAAAGUGAGGAGGGUCAGAGGUGUACAGAUAAGGAUGAGGGCUGAAAAGAGGAGCAGGAAGGAUGCUUUUGGCACUGAGAGGAGAAAAGCUAUAAGAUGCUAAAUCUCUCCAUUGCAUACGGAAAAACGUAGGAAGGGCACUGCAGCUGAUGUUGCUAUGUGUGCAAUGCUUGAGAUAGACAGAAAUACUCGUCUUAAGGAGCUUGGUUGGGCGCUACUCAUGUGGGUAGUUUAUGCAUAAAGUUAUGCCUGUUCGUUGCUUAAAUGUUGCCAUAUUUUGUUUUUCUCUUUGAAACUGUGAAGGGCACAACUUUUUAACGACUUCUGUAACUUGUGUAUCUAACAUCUGUAUUCGGUAUUCUGAGUUAAAAUGGGCACAUUUAAUUAUAUUUUA